rnacentral:tRNA from 1 species
GGGCGCGUAGCUCAUUUGGUAGAGCGUUCGCUUAGCAUGUUUACCCGUGUGCGAAAGGUACUGGGUUCGAUUCCCAGCUCGUCCA